UAGCGCUUAUCCAUAGUCAUGAUAAGCCGUUAUUUUAUCAAAGAUAACAGUUUAACGGAUAACUUAGGGCAGUGAGAAAAUAUUUUGACUCCAGUGUUCGAUAUAUUAUAUAUAGAAGAAGAAAUGAAAGUAUAGUGAGCGUAAAAUGUGAUGAUAGAGAAUGAUCGAAACGUUAUACAUUGUGGAGAAACGUUGAAAUAUAUGUACAUAAAUGUGUGCUGAAUUUAUCAAAACUGUAGGCUGUUAAGUUUGCCGCAUUAAAUUUUCGUAAUGAAUGGAAAUAUGGAAUUAGAGGCGCAAGAAAGAUCUAGUAUACCACCGGUUUUUCGAGGACCUAUUGUUAUCACAGUACAACCGCAAGGUGAAAAUAACUCGGGCAGAAGACCAAUACCAAUAUCUACUACGGACUGGGUCUCAACACCCAGAUCUCAAUUGAAUGUACUCUCGGGAAUGCAUUUCUUAGCAGGAGUUGAACAAUUGGAAAUUCAAAGGAUAAUCAACUUUAAUGGAUUAUUUGGAUUAUCUGGAAAUAGAAAACAAUAUAGAGUGAAAGUACCAAAAGCUGAAACGAUCUUUUUAGCUACGGAAUCUCGUGAGGACAACGAAGAAAGGUACAUAUGUAGAGUCGCAGAUUUUACGUUAAUUUUCUUAGACCAAGCUGGAGAAACGGCGUUUGUUAUUAAGAAAAAUCCUGUAUGGAAAUAUAUGCCUGGACCAGUACAUAAACUUACGGUAUCGAGUACGGCUUUAAUUGGGAGUGUGGAACAAAAUUUCUCUAUAUUGGGUCCGAGUUUUACCGUUUACGAUGCUUCACGGAAACCUUUGUGCAAUAUAUACGGACCGAAUGCAUGUAGUUGUUGUAUGUACAAGGAAUCACAAUUUCAGAUUAUUUCGAUCGAUGGUUCACAUCAAAUGGCGUCUUUAAUGCAUCAAUGGAAUAAUACAAUCCAUGAUUACACUUUAUUACUUACUUUUCCAUUAGAUCUCGACAUAAGAUUAAAGAGUCUAUUGCUCGGUGCAUCUUUUCUAAUGGAACACUUAUACUUCGAAAAUGUUAAGAGAACGUGAAAAAAACAAACAAAAAUUCGAAUCGAUAAGACAUUUAUUUAUACACAAUUAUUUGAAAUAAAAUGCAAUAAAGUACGAUUAAAUUGUAUGAUUCGAUUCAAAAAUGGCAGCUAUAUUUCCAUUUCGUUUGAACUGCUUUUGAAGCAUAUAUUCGAUUUUCUGAUAUCUCUCAUCAUUAUAUUUACGAUACAGAGACCUGCAAAAUUUUUAUCGGAAGAUGAGAAUGAGAAACUACAUAUUUAAGGCGGAUUCAUUAAAAUUCGAAUGAAUUUUCUAGAUCGAAGCGCCAUCUAGCAUAUUUUUUAAGAAGCUUUAGUAGUCUAAAGUUGUAUUAAAUAAGUUAUAUACCAUGCAGUGGUUAAUCAUGUCUGAUUGUAUAAAACAGUUUUACUUAAUUUAAAUUCUCCAAAAAUGUUUUUGAAGAAAUAAAAUAUAUUCAUAGAAACGUGAAUAUAAACAAAUUUUUCGUAUUCGGGUAUAUAGUUAGAGAAAAAUAUUUGUGAAAUAUAACUAUCACAUUAUUUGGAUUCACAUAUAUAAUUAAUUCAUGACUUUGUUGACAAUUGACGAUCUCAUCGAAAUGCAAUGAUGUAAUCUAGUAGUUUUAGGAUGUAAAUCUUUUUAUUCAUUUGUUUAUAAAAUUAUAGAUUUCUAUUAGAUGUGAAAAUAUAUAAACCAUACAAUCCGUAUGCAUAUUAAAAUAUAUCGUGUAAAGUUUAUAGAAUUUGAUUGUUUUAUCGGUAGAUAAAGUAUUAAUCUUGACUAGUAGAUGUUCAAUUGUUCGAACAAAGGAAAAGUAAACAUCAGAAAAUUGCAAGGGAGAGUGAAUGUACCGGUGCGUCAAAGACUAAACUGUGUGAAUAUUACAUUCGGUUGACUCUAAUUUAGCAAAAUUACCGAUAUGUUUAAAACGUGUAUCCUGUGAAUUUACAAUUACUGUUAGCGAAAGAAAAAGGACCAUAAUAAGCUAGCAAUUAAUUUAAUCAUAGCAAUACGCAGUAAUAAAAAUGUUCUACAGAUUAUGCAUUGAAAUAAAUUAGAUUGAAUAUGGACUGAUAAUAAAGAUAGAAAAGAAAAAAACAGAAGAAUUUUUUUAGUCUUUCACAAUCUGCUCUUACAAUUUACGAUACUUUAUUUUACUUUAUUUUAUUAUUAUAUAUAUUAAAGAGUCGAUGGCCAACUUUUAUAUAACCAUGAAAUUGAAGGAGAUUUUGAGAAACAUUGUUUGGUUUACAUGAAGUCCUUGGAGCAUAAUAAAAAAAUUAUAAGCUGUAUAAUAGUAUUCUAAAGUCACUUAUGAAACUAGAUAUAAAUUCAGAAAAGUGAAAAAGAAACAGGUGACAAAAUUAUAAUGUGGAACUAUUUUUACUUAACAAAAUUUGGGAAAUCUAUUAGUAAGUAAACAUAGAAAUAUAAAUUAUUUAUGUUAUGAUAUAUACAUUAUAUAUAUAAUGUAUAUAUGUGAUAUCGAGAAGUUUAAUCGAUGCUUUGUGCAUAAAAUGUGAGAAAGUCAGCAUGCAUAAGUGUAUCGGUUCAUUUAUGAAUAUUCCGAGGCUUUAUUUCCGUGUGAAUAAAUGUGUAUAUGCGUAUGCGUGUGGACAAGAGUGAGACUUGGGUUUUCGAAAAAAAGGGUAAAGGGAAAGGCGAAUGUGACGAUCGAAACAGGUAUAUGAAAGAUGUCUGGAUAACACAUGAGUAUUCCCAAAGGGAUUGAAGAAUUGAAGAAUUGAAGAAUACUUGGCACUUGUAUUAACAAAAGUUGAAUAUAAAUUAAUAUUGUCUGUUAUGAGAUAGACAAUAUUGCAAGAUGUUAACAUAAUUUAAAAGGUAAAAAUAAUUUUAUUGUUCUUUUUGAAAUAUUAUUGGAAUUUUUUUAUUGUAAUUAUAAAAUAUAUACAGCUCAUAGAAAAAUAUAAUAUAUAUGUAUAUAUACAUAUAUAUAUUUCUCUUUAGGGUUAUUAUACAAUUUCAGUUGUGCGGAAAAAUAGGGCGGAAAAAAGAAUAUAAAUAAAUAAUGUAGAUGCAAAAUAAAUUAUUUAUUAUUGAAAAAUACUAAUGUACAGUAUAUCUUUUAUACUGGUGUAACUUGCAAAGUAAG